AAUUUAUCCAUUAUAUAUCCCAAGGACGCCUCGCUUAAAAUCUCUCAUUGUCAUUCCUUUAUUCCUUAACAAAUGCUGCUGUACUCUCACUUCACUUGCAGCACCAAAGCUCAGAGGCGCUGACACACUUCAAAUUUGCGAGGGAAAAUCAAAUGCCGACGCCGAACUUAUCGAGCUUAGUGCACGAACUCCGAGAACGAAUCGCAGCAACUUCAUCAACGCCACCAAACACCAACACCAACACAGCAGCAGAAAACGACUCCGCUCUAGAAAUCCGAUUCCGUGCUGUCCUUCCUAAUCUCCUUCACGCCUAUGUCGUUCCUUCUUCAUCCGCGAGCGAGCGAGAGGUGAUUGCGGUGUUGAAAUUGAUUUCACACAUAGCGAGGAAUUUUCCUGGCGUGUUUUACCAUGGUAAAGGGAGUGCCAUUUUGCCUGUUAUUGGUAGGGUUUUGCCGUUUUUCGCAGAGCCUGCGUUUCGCGCGCGGCACGGAGUGAUUUUUGAUACCGUUGGAUCCUUGUUGUCCUUGCUUCGCACUGGAGCGCGAGAUGCCUACUGUCAGUUUUUUAUUGAUGCAAUGCUGGCAGUUGAAGAUAUAUUGUACGUGGCGCCGUUUUCUGUUGAUAGUAGAAGUGUUCCGGAAUCUGGUAGAAUAAUGUUGAAGUGUUUUUGCAAGUCAUUUAGUGGCAUUUUCGAUGAUCCUGCUUGUAUUUGUGGUUUGCCGGCUAGUAGUAAACCUGAUGAUGGUGCGGGUGUAUUGAUUAAUGUGACGGGCAAAGAGAGGUGGAUGACUUUUGCGACUUGGAUGGUUAAGCUUCUUAGCAAAUGUGUGACUGAAGGGACGCUUUAUGUGGAGGGACUCAUUAGUUUGGCAAAUGUUUCAGCUGCUUGUUCGCUGUUGUGUUUUGGAAAUGCUGAUUUGCAUAUGGCAUGUUUUGACUUUGCAUGUGUCGUCACAUCAGUCAUAGAUCAUGAUAUUGUUCCUCAUGAGAAUAUGAUCAGGUCAAUAGCUGCAAUACUAAGUGAGGACAGCGAGGGACCUUUUGUAUUCAGAAACAUGGUGUAUGAUUCCUCCUUGGGUAGUUGCCUCAAUAUAUUGCAUUCCAGUUGUUCAGAUGCUAUUGUAGAGAUAACAGCUGCAGGCUUGAUAAAUGUCUUUCCUCAGUCAAUGCAGAGAACCAAAAGCCAAGAGCUCAAGGUAGCUUUGUGCUGCUCAUACUCACGGAUUGCUAGAACAUGCCCCCCUCAUAUUUGGAGGCCAGAAUCUCUGAUACAUAUGCUUUGUUGUCCUGAACCCUUUUCUUCCUUGAUUGAUUGCUUUCAAGUAGCUCUGUCGAUUCUUGGUCCUGAUCGAGUUGGAGGGAGGAUGGAAAAUAAUGAUGAUGCAAGCUUAUCAGUAUCUGGUGAUAUAACAGUCCAGAACUCAAGUGUUGGCAAAAAGAGACAUUCUCAGAAUGUGGAUACUAUACAGACCAAACGCCGUAAGGUAGAUGACGAUGUUAUGGCUUCUGAUCCCAGUGUUCUGGCAGAGUGCAAGCUUAAUUCCAUAGUUAAUUCUAAAAGAGACGAAGAAUAUGCUGAUUGUAUGCAUAAAUCGCUUGUUUCCUUCCUUGAACAUUUAAAGCCUCCUGCUAAACCUGAUUCUUUAAGACCAGAUGUUGCGCUAGCAGCUCUUAGCAUGCUUUGCAUUGCUUUCUGUAGAUUUCCAACAACCUAUCUGUCAAUCUGUAUCUUCCAGCAGAUGCAUGCGUGGAUUCCUUGGAUAUGUGAGCAGGCAGAGCGAGGAGGUUCAGUUGCACUUGAUAUUUCCAACUACUUGGAAGGAAUUCACACCAUGUUGCUUGUGCAAAGCCCCUUUCUCAUGGAGGACAAGCCUUUCAAAUAUAAGGGUGACUCUACAGAUCUUUUGCAUAUUGUGCUAAAGCUUCCUUGGACUCGUCCACAUAUGGUUAUAGGUCUGCAUCCUCCUUGGAAGACAAAAUGUUUCUCCAUCCAAGUUGUCUCCAAGCUUGGCUCUAUCUUAACAACUGAACAUGCUCUGGAACUCCUGGAAUUAGGUCUCAAUGAUGAAGCUGAAGAAGUUAGAAUUGAAACUAUAACUUCUAUGCCAGUGAUUGUCUUGUGGUCUGGCCUUGGUUUGCAAGCAGAAAUGUUCAAAAGGCUUGACUUGCUGGGGAAAGAGGAGAACAUCAAAGUUAAGAGAAGCAUUCCCUUCACUCUUGGUUUCUUGUCAUGUUUUUAUGGAUCCUGUAGUAUUGUUGAUGGCCCACCUCUAGGUGAAUGCAAGUUAUUUAUAGAUAUCAAUAAUGAGAAACAUGGUAAGACAGCUGAUUAUUUACAAGGAUUCUGGUGCUCAAAGUGUGACAGAAGCAUUGUGCACAACCACAAGGUACACUUAAAAAUAAUGCAACCACCUGAUUUCCAAAGUGCAAGAGUGGGAUUGAAUAGCUAUUUUCCUCAGCUCCAGUCCUUGUUCUUUAAACUUCUUUAUGAUGAGUCUUCGGAAGAGGUUCAAGUUGCCUGUGUGAGAAAUAUUCGACGUAUCCUUGUACAUGGGUCUGAAGAUAUUUUAAUUAAAACAAAAUCAGAAUGGAUUAAAUGUGUUGAGUUUUUACUACUGAACAAAAAGAAGCCACUGAGAGAGGCAUUCUGCACUCAGAUCAGUUCCUUCCUUGAAAGUCCUGUAUUCAGUUGUUUAUUUUUGAAUGGAGAUUCAUCCAAUAAAACUAAUGAGCAGAAGUUUUUAGGCCUAAUGAAGCAUGCUCUGUCAGCAGCUGAAGACCCACAAAUCUUUGAGACUCUUCUGGAAUGUGUAUCCCAAAUUAUGAUCGCAGUUGAUAUUCAUAGUCAACUUUUCUUGUCUUGUCUUAUUUUGCUGGUUGAUCAGCUGGAUCAUCCAUAUGUGACAGUGAGAAUGAGUGCAUCAAGGUUAAUACACAAAUCUUGCUACUUUCAUCUUAAAGGAGGAUUUGAGCUAAUCCUUUCAAAAGUAGUUCACAUUAGAAAUGAGCUGUUUGAUUAUCUAACUACGAGGUUCACAAGCCAUCCAAAAAUGGUCAGAGAGUUUGCAGAAGCUGUUUAUGGAGUUGAAACUGAAGAGCUUGUUGAGAAAAUGAUUCCCAUUGUUCUUCCAAAGCUCGUGGUGUCUCAGCAGGAUAACAAUCGAGCAGUUCAGACAUUAUAUGAGUUAGCCAAGUGUUUGAACACUGACAUGGUGCCUCUGAUAGUUAAUUGGCUACCAAAAGUGCUUGCCUUUGCUCUUCAUCGAGCAGACAAGCAGGAGUUACUCUCAACUUUGCAGUUUUACCACGAUCAGAUUGGUUCGGAUAACCAAGAAAUUUUCGCUGCUGCAUUACCUGCACUUUUAGAUGAACUUGUCUGCUUUCUUGAUGGUGGUGAUUCAGUUGAGAUAAACCAAAGGUUAUCAAGAGUGCCUGACAUGAUAAAAGAAAUUGCCAGAGUUCUGACAGGUGGUGAAGAUCUACCAAGCUUUCUGAGGAAUCAUUUUGUUGGUCUCCUUAAUGGCAUUGAUAGAAAAAUGCUUCAUGCAGAGGAUCUUUCGCUGCAGAGACAAGCUUUGCGACGUAUUAAAAUGCUAAUUGAAAUGAUGGGGUCACAGCUUGGUACUUACGUGCCAAAAUUAAUGGUCCUUCUUAUGCAUGCUAUUGAUAAAGAAUCACUGCAAAACGAGGGCCUAUCUGUCUUGCACUUUUUCAUAGAGCAAUUGGCUAACAAGUCACCAUCUAGCACUAAACAUGUCAUUUCUCAAGUUUUUGCUGCCCUUAUUCCCUUCUUGGAGAGAUACAAAGAAAAUCCUUCUACACAUUUGAACAAAGUGGUGGACAUUUUGGAAGAACUUGUGUUAAAGAACAGAACCAUCCUGAAGCAGCAUAUUCAUGAAUUUCCUCUAUUACCUAGUAUUCCUGAGCUAAUGGAAGUGAACAAAGCUAUUCAAGAAGCACGUGGGUCAAUGACUUUGAAGGAUCAAUUGCGAGAUGUUGUUGAUGGUCUCAACCAUGAGAACUUGAAUGUUAGGUAUAUGGUGGUGUGUGAGUUAAGCAAGUUACUGAAUCUGAGAAGGGGAGAUAUUACAUCUCUGAUCACUGGUGAAGUUGCUGCUGAUAUGGACAUUUUGAGCUCAUUGAUCACAGCCUUACUCAGAGGAUGUGCAGAAGAAUCAAGGACUGCGGUAGGACAGCGGCUGAAGCUGGUCUGUGCUGAUUGUCUUGGAGCAUUGGGUGCAGUUGACCCUGCUAAAGUAAAGGGAAUUUCAUCCCAGCGCUUUAAAAUUGAAUGUUCAGAUGAUGAUCUUAUCUUUGAGCUGAUCCACAAACACUUGGCUAGGGCUUUUAGAGCUGCACCUGAUACCAUUGUUCAGGACUCAGCUGCACUGGCAAUACAAGAAUUGCUUAAGAUAGCAGGUUGUGAGGCAUCACUGGAUGGGACUGCUUCCCUGUCACAAACCCUGAAGGACAAGAGUGCUAAAAGUAGUAGUGGAAUGAAUACAAGGGGUCAGAGAUUGUGGGACCGAUUCUCCAAUUAUGUCAAAGAGAUAAUAGCCCCUUGUUUAACCUCUAGAUUUCAGCUUCCAAAUGUGGCUGACUCAGCAUCAGUCGGGCCAAUUUACCGGCCUUCUAUGUCAUUCAGAAGAUGGAUAUUCUAUUGGAUAAAGAAACUUACUGCGCAUGCAACCGGAUCCCGUGCAAGUAUAUUUAAUGCAUGUAGAGCUCUAGUGCGGCAUGAUAUGCAACUAGCAAUUUAUCUGCUGCCAUAUUUAGUUCUCAAUGCUGUUUGUCAUGGUACUGAGGAGGCGCGCCACAGCAUAGCUGAGGAAAUCCUAUGUGUUCUUGAUGCUGCUGCUUCAGACAACAGUGGUGCUGCAGUUGGUGGGCAAAGUGAAGUUUGUAUUCAAGCUGUUUUCACUCUCCUGGAUAAUCUUGGGCAAUGGAUGGAUGAUUUUGAACAAGAGCUAGCUCUUUCCCAAUCUUUCCAAUCACCAGCAUCUAAGAAACAAGCAUCCAAAUCCAAGGGUCAAGGUUCAAUUUCUUCGACAGAUCAGGAUCAACUCCUUGUACAGUGUAAGUAUGUUUCAGAACUUUUAACUGCAAUUCCAAAGCUAACACUUGCCAGGGCCUCCUUCAGGUGUCAGGCUUAUGCAAGAUCUUUGAUGUACUUUGAGUCUCAUGUGCGUGGAAAAUCUGGUGCAUUUAACCCAGCAGCUGAGAGAAGUGGCAUAUUUGAGGAUGAAGAUGUUUCAUAUUUGAUGGAAGUAUACAGCUGCCUAGAUGAGCCUGAUGGUCUAUCUGGCUUGGCAUGUCUACGCAAAUCAUUAAGCUUGCAAGACCAGCUCUUAAUAAAUAAAAGAGCAGGGAACUGGGCUGAGGUUUUAACUUCUUGUGAGCAGGCUUUACAGAUGGAGCCCUGUUCUGUUCAGCGGCAUUCAGAUGUCCUUAACUGUUUGCUGAACAUGUGCCACCUUCAGGCUAUGGUCACUCAUGUGGAUGGUUUAAUUUCUAGGGUUCCACAAUACAAGAAAACAUGGUGCAUGCAAGGUGUGCAAGCAGCAUGGAGGCUGGGCAGGUGGGACUUGAUGGAUGAGUACAUCAGCGGGGCUGAUCAUGAUGGUUUACUUUGUAGUGGUUCUGAAAGUAAUGCUUCCUUUGACAUGGAUGUUGCAAAGAUUCUUCAGUCUAUGAUGAAGAAGGAUCAGUUCUCAGUUGCUGAGAAGAUUGCACUAUCCAAACAAGCUCUGAUUGCUCCUCUUGCUGCUGCUGGGAUGGAUUCUUACGUGCGGGCUUACCCGUUUAUCGUGAAACUUCACUUACUACGUGAAUUGGAGGACUUCCACGCUCUUCUUGUUGAUGAUUCUUUCUUGGUCAAAAAAUUCCAUCUGGGUCAUCUAGAAUUCACUAAAUUGAUGGAGAAUUGGGAACAUCGGCUCAGAUUUACUCAACCAUCCCUUUGGGCAAGGGAGCCUCUUUUGGCUUUCCAAAGAUUGGUAUUUGGUGCCAGUAGUCUUGGUGCCCAUGUUGGGAUCUGCUGGCUUCAGUAUGCAAAGCUUUGUCGCUUGGCUGGUCACUAUGAGACAGCAAACCGAGCAAUUCUGGAAGCCCAGGCCUCGGGUGCACCUAAUGUUCACAUGGAAAAGGCCAAGCUUCUGUGGAGUACUAGGCGAUCAGAUGGUGCCAUUGCAGAGUUGCAGCAAACUCUCCUUCACAUGCCUGAAAAGGUUGUAGGUGCUGCUGCUAGGUCUUCAAUUACUAGCCUUUCAUUGGUACCAUUGAAUCCCCAACCUGCAUUUUGUGAUACUCAAGCUUCGAGUGAGAAUCUAGAUAUUGCAAAGACUCUACUUUUAUAUUCCAGAUGGAUCCAUUAUACGGGGCAGAAACAAAAGGAAGAUGUCAUAACUCUUUAUACCAGGGUGAGGGAUCUGCAGCCUAAGUGGGAAAAAGGAUUCUUCUAUUUGGCUAAAUAUUGCGAUGAGGUGCUUGUUGAUGCCAGGAAACGUCUGGAAGACAAUUAUGAACAAGGUCCCAGACCGGUACCAUUGACUUCCACUUCUAUUUCUCCUUCGAACACUGAGAGGCGAUGGUGGACUUACGCACCUGAUGUACUUUUAUUCUAUGCUAAGGGGCUGCAUAGGGGCCACAAGAAUCUCUUUCAAGCUCUUCCAAGAUUGCUAACACUGUGGUUUGAAUUUGGAAGCAUUUAUCAGAGAAGUGGCUCAUCGUCCAAUCAAGAGUUGAAAAAGGUUCAUGACAAGGUUAUGAGUAUUAUGCGAGGCUGUUUGAAGGAUUUGCCAACAUAUCAAUGGUUAACAGUGCUGCCUCAAUUAGUUUCUAGAAUCUGCCACCAGAAUGAAGAUAUUGUAAAGUUGGUCAAACGCAUAAUCACCUCUGUUAUCCAGCAAUACCCACAACAAGGCCUAUGGAUUAUGGCAGCCGUUUCAAAAUCCGCAGUCCCUUCAAGGCGGGAAGCGGCUGCAGCAAUCAUACAAGAAGCUAAAAAGGGGUUCAGCCAAGGAAACAAUGGGAGCAAUUUGUUUGUUCAGUUUGCCAGCUUGAUUGAUCAUCUUAUCAGAUUGUGUUUCCACCCAGGCCAAUCAAAAGCAAGGACAAUCAAUAUUUCAACUGAAUUCAGUGCCCUGAAAAGGAUGAUGCCACUGGAAAUUAUCAUGCCAAUUCAACAAUCUCUCACUGUUAGUUUACCAACGUAUGAUGUGAAUCUCACCGACCCCCUUACCUCUGUUAUCUUUUCUGCUUCUGAUCUUCCAACAAUUUCAGGAAUAGCUGACGAGGCUGAGAUUCUUUCAUCUCUUCAGCGACCUAAAAAAAUUGUUCUAUUGGGUAGUGACGGUAUUGAACACCCAUUCCUUUGCAAGCCCAAGGAUGACCUUAGGAAAGAUGCUCGUAUGAUGGAGUUCACUGCAAUGAUAAACCGGUUGUUGUCAAAAUAUCCUGAAAGCCGUCGGAGGAAACUUUACAUUCGUACUUUUGCUGUAAUUCCACUAACAGAAGACUGCGGUAUGGUGGAAUGGGUGCCCCACACCCGUGGACUUCGGCAUAUACUUCAAGACAUAUAUAUAAAAUGUGGGAAAUUUGACAGGCAGAAGACGAAUCCUCAAAUUAAACGGAUAUAUGAUCAAUGCCAUGGUAAAAUGCCAGAAGAUGAGAUGCUAAAAAAUAAGAUCCUUCCCUUGUUCCCUCCAGUUUUCCACAAAUGGUUCUUGACCACUUUUUCUGAGCCAGCUGCUUGGUUUAGGGCUCGGGUUGCUUAUGCUCAUACCACUGCAGUUUGGUCAAUGGUUGGGCAUAUCGUGGGACUAGGAGAUCGACAUGGUGAAAACAUUCUCUUUGACUCUACCACAGGUGAUUGUGUCCAUGUUGAUUUCAGUUGUCUAUUUGACAAAGGCUUGCAGUUGGAAAAACCUGAGCUUGUGCCUUUCAGGUUAACACAGAACAUGAUUGAUGGCUUGGGAAUCACGGGUUACGAGGGCAUUUUCUUGAGGGUAUGCGAAAUCACACUUUCAGUACUGAGGACACACAGGGAAACUUUAAUGAGUGUUCUUGAAACUUUCAUUCACGAUCCUCUUGUGGAGUGGACAAAAUCUCACAAAUCCAGCGGGGUUGAAGUUCAGAACCCACAUGCACAGCGAGCCAUUAAUAAUAUCGAAGCAAGGUUGCAAGGGGUGGUUGUUGGCGUUGGAGCGGCACCCUCUUUGCCUCUUGCCGUGGAAGGCCAGGCUCGUCGUUUAAUUGCUGAAGCAGUGUCGCACAAAAAUCUUGGGAAGAUGUACAUAUGGUGGAUGCCUUGGUUUUGAGGAGUCAUUGCUUGAACUUUUUGACCAGGAAAAGCAUGUUGAAGAUUUUUCUUUCACGAAGAUGUUUCAGUUUAAGGACUAGAUUUUUGACCCUUGAUGAAGUACAAGGGAUUGGACAUGCAUGGAGAGAUUCUACAACCUUCACGGGGAAGAGUGGAGCAGAACUUUUGCAGGAACUAAAAGUUGCUCACCGCAUGCCUUUCUCAACUUCGCCUAUUAUCCUUUGUAUCCUCUUGAAGUGCUGCCAGCGUCUCAUCAGCUCUCUGUAUAUAGGCUAUAUCGUCCUGUACUCUUUUCUUUUGAGCAGAUAUGACUGCCCACUUUGCAUAUAGAAGAAACCGAUAGUCAAUCUCCCCUCCUUAUUGAUAAUACACUGUUGCAUGUUGCUGCGCUUCGAGAUGCCCAAGUUUUUUACUUUUUUAUGCAGCUGAUUUCCGGUUCUUGUCUGAGGACGUCAUGGUUCUGCAGUUCCAUGUAUAUUUUUUUGGUAUAUGUAAACAAGAGACAGGGAUAAAGGAAAUCUCCAAUGACGUAAAAAUCCAAAAGAAACUUGUGAUUAGUAGAUGGUGAACUUGCUCAUCCAUCUGCUAACGUAGCCAUUCCUUGACAUCUUUCCCUCA